UACGGGGGGAGCAAGCGUUGUUCGGAUUUACUGGGCGUAAAGGGUGCGCAGGCGGCCAAGUGUGUGAGGCGUGAAAGCCCGGGGCUUAACCCCGGAAUUGCACCUCAAACUACAUGGCUAGAGCAUUGGAGAGGGUAGCAGAAUUCAUGGUGUAGCAGUGAAAUGCGUAGAUAUCAUGAGGAAUACCAGAGGCGAAGGCGGCUACCUGGACAAUUGCUGACGCUCAGGCACGAAAGCGUGGGGAGCAAAAGGG
rnacentral:rRNA from 1 species